rnacentral:rRNA from 1 species
UAAGUGAGUGGAGGAUGAGAAACUAAACAGGAUUCCUUUAGUAAUGGCGAAUGAAGAAGGAGUAGCUCAACAUGAAAAUCUGGGCAUCUGGCCUUGAAUUGUAGUUUGAAGAUGCAUUUGCCAAUGGACAUGAUAAUGAAAGCCUUUUGGGAAAAAGCAUCAACGAGGGUGAGAAUCCUUCUUGACAUUUCAAUUGUCCAUGUACGGUGUGCAUUGAAGAUUCACGUUCCUUGGGAUUUGAACGCAAACUUGUUGGUAAAUUUCAUUUAAAGCUAAAUAUUGGUUUG